CAGUCAGUCGUUGUUAAUCGACGGCAGUGACUGUAUACGACUCACUAUAGGGCGAUGGAAUUAGCGGCGCGAUCGCCUUGUGCCAGCAGCCGCGGUAAUUCCAGCUCCAAUAGCGUAUAUUAAAGUUGUUGCAGUUAAAACGCUCGUAGUCGGAUUUCGGGGCGGGCCGACUGGUCUGCCGUUGGGUAUGCACUGGCCGGCGCGUCCUUCCUUCCGGAGACCGUGCCUUCUCUUAACUGGGCGGGUUCGGGAGACGGAACGUUUACUUUGAAAAAAUCAGAGUGUUUCAAGCAGGCAGCUCGCUCUUGCAUGGAUUAGCAUGGGAUAAUGAAAUAGGACUUUGGUGCUAUUUUGUUGGUUUCGAACACCGAAGUAAUGAUUAACAGGGACAGUCAGGGGCACUCGUAUUCCGCCGAGAGAGGUGAAAUUCUCAGACCAGCGGAAGACGAACCACUGCGAAAGCAUUUGCCAGGGAUGUUUUCACUGAUCAAGAACGAAAGUUAGGGGAUCGAAGACGAUCAGAUACCGUCGUAGUCUUAACCAUAAACCAUGCCGACUAGGGAUUGGAGGAUGUUCCAUUGUGACUCCUUCAGCACCUUUCGGGAAACUAAAGUCUUUGGGUUCCGGGGGGAGUAUGGUCGCAAGGCUGAAACUUAAAGGAAUUGACGGAAGGGCACCACCAGGAGUGGAGCCUGCGGCUUAAUUUGACUCAACACGGGGAAACUUACCAGGUCCAGACAUUGUGAGGAUUGACAGAUUGAGAGCUCUUUCUUGAUUCGAUGGGUGGUGGUGCAUGGCCGUUCUUAGUUGGUGGAGUGAUUUGUCUGGUUAAUUCCGUUAACGAACGAGACCGCAGCCUGCUAAAUAGUUACGUGAACUCUUCGUUCGCGGCCAACUUCUUAGAGGGACAACUUGUCUUCAACAAGUGGAAGUUUGCGGCAAUAACAGGUCUG
rnacentral:rRNA from 1 species